AGUCACUGACAUUAGAUACCCGGGUAGUCCAGGGUGUAAACGCUGCAGACUUGGUGUUGGAACCCGUUCGGGGGUGCUCAGUGCCGGAGAGAAGUUGUUAAGUCUGCUACUUGGGAGUACGUCCGCAAGGAUGAAACUUAAAGGAAUUGGCGGGGAGUACCACAACGGGUGGAGCCUGCGGUUUAAUUGGACUCAACGCCGGAAAUCUCACCGGAUAGGACAGACAUAUGAUAGUCGGGCUGAAGACUCUACUUGAUGAUCUG
rnacentral:rRNA from 1 species